UACGUAGGGCGCAAGCGUUGUCCGGAAUUAUUGGGCGUAAAGAGCUCGUAGGCGGUUUGUCGCGUCUGCUGUGAAAUCCCGAGGCUCAACCUCGGGCUUGCAGUGGGUACGGGCAGGCUAGAGUUCGGUAGGGGAGACUGGAAUUCCUGGUGUAGCGGUGAAAUGCGCAGAUAUCAGGAGGAACACCGGUGGCGAAGGCGGGUCUCUGGGCCGAUAUCGACGCUGAGGAGCGAAAGCGUGGGGAGCGAACAGG
rnacentral:rRNA from 1 species